UUAAGUAUUGUUGCUGGGUUAGUUGGAAGAUAGGCCGGUAAUUGACACCUUCAAUGUCCACAUUAACAAAAUCACUUGAAAUUAGCACCUGAAUCGUAAUAUUCAAAUCGAACAUUAAGCGAAUCUACCUCGAGCCAUUCAGAAAACCGACUGAUUGUUGGGUUUCAUUAUAAACGGCAGGCGUAUUCGGUUGAUGGUACCGGUCCCCAGAUCGACUUAAGUUGGGAGUUGGUACGGCGACCACACUGCGACUCUACACGAAAUACACCGAGCGACUUAAACUAGAUCGAAUCUUCAGCGGCUUUACUAAACCGUAGAUUUUUGCAGGGUUGUCGCAAUGCUGUACUUUCUAACCUAUAUCUCGAUGGUACCACCAGAAACCCGUCAUUUGUCAUUUGAAAUUGACCUCUCAAAGGCUUCUGAUUUAGUAGAAUAUCUCUUGCAAGCGGUAGACAAGCUUUCUCAACUGGCAAAACUACAUAUCUUAUUGAAAUCAACCAUUUUUAUGCUAAAGUCUUAAUAUUGAAAUUAAAAAAUAGAACAUUUAAAAAUCAAAGAUUGGGUAAGUGUCCUCUUACCUCUCAAAUAAGUUUACGGUUCGUUAAUAUUAAAUUAUCUGAGUACAUCAUCAUACGCCUUCUCUUUGAAACCGUUUGCUGUUUUCUAAGCAUUCCCUACAGGGACAGAUAAGCUUUUAUAAAGCCUCGAAAAUGUUUUCACCUUAUUUCCAUUAGUUUUCUUCGCAUAAAACACUAUUCAAUUUACUUGGACUUUCACAAAUCCUGCAGUCUGGCAACAAGGGAAUGAAAUCCGGGCAUUACUAAACUCUAAAAAUACAUUAAGAAGUUAAAAGUUAAACGUAGAGGCCAUACCAGAGAACAUUUUUGCUCUCUCUCCGAUCAGUCUCUUACUUAUAAAUGACACACUCCUUGACACUCAUUCUGAUGAAAUCUGUUUUAUCUGGAAAUAUUUUUGUUUAAGUAAAAUCCCCUAAGUAAAGUCAACGAUUGAUAAUUUGUAUAAUUAGACAUCUCAGGUGUAUGCCAAACGUUUAAGCAGUCCAGAUAUUCAGACAAUUCAAAAAAGCUGGACCUCGUAAUGGAGAAAACUUGAACGAUGAAACGAUGAACAGACAUACCACAAAAGAAAAUUAUCUUUAAACAUAUUUAUUCAAAAAAACUUGAAUAGCAGAAGACACACGAAGACAGAACGAAGUAUAGCGUAUAAAUCCAGUAAACUUAUUUGACUGACACAUUCUUAACAUAGCAAUGUUAGAAUCCGAUGAAGAUAUUAAUCUAAGCAGAUCAAACGCCUUUUUCAAGUAAAUUCUCCAGGAAAAACAAUGAAGAUUGAACGAACUACGUGAACAAAGUGUCAAAGUGAGAAAGUGAUACUUAAGCAUCUUUCGCCCACAUAGGAACACAACUUGUAACCGAAUGAUUUAAAUCAAGUUCUUAAACUGUCUAAGUUAAGUUCUUAAAUUAAAUUUUUAAACCA
rnacentral:lncRNA from 1 species